AGAAAAGAGCCGCAGUAGUUGGCAAAAAAAAAAGAAGGCACAGCUAUCUCCUUCUUCUCCGACCAAAAAUGCAUUAGCUGUUUCCACCAUUGCUUCAGCCAUAAAAGCUCCACCAAACCACCAAAAUAAGCAAAUGUAAAAGACCACAUUCUUCCCCUGUUAAACCAGCCCCAACACUAUCCCCCCUCCACCCAAAACACCACUGUUUUCUCCCAAAAACGACCUCAAAUCACCCCCAAAACCAGCUCCCUUCCACCUUAAAAGAACCCCCAAAACUGCAGCAAAACCAGCUGCGAAAUCAGACCAAAAACGAGCUGAAAAGGGAACCAAAAUCCAGCCCCAAAGAGCAGCAAAACUAGCUGCGAGACUGCUGAAAAACAGCCCCAAAACUCAGCAAAAUCAGUCACAAAAUGCAACCAAAAACAGCCCCAAGACCCAGCUAUAAAUCAACCUGAAAAUACCACAAGAAAGAACCACAAACGGGCAUAAUCUAUUUCUCUGUUCUUCGCUAGCUCGAUCGUUCACGAUUCCUUUUGAGUUUGGCGUGUUAGCUUUCGUUUGAGGUCGUCGUCAUUGGUUUUCAGGCGUGGUCCUUGUCCUUGACUCGAUUAUCGAGUUAUAGAAGUUUAAAUUUUGGAUUCCACCAAUGUAAAGGAAGAUUUACUUUUGGAGGGGAAAAAAGGCUAUAGAGCAAAAUCUUUUCUUUCGCUUGGAAAGUUCCAGCCUUCCAGGUUAUUUCGUGGUUGAGUGGUCAGUCAUCUGAUUGUACUACUUCCAGCGUCUGGCAACUCCAUACCCAGAAAUUGUCUAAGCACUCCAAAGAAAGGUGAGGAGGAGCAAUCGGACUUGAAAAUAAGCCUUUGAUCUUUUCCAGACUGAUGAGAGGCAAAUCUGUAUUCUUUAAGGGCCUUUGUUUCAUUCUGGGUUUUGGACCUUAGUUUCAUUCUUAAUUGGAUAAGAAUCUUUAAUCUGUUCUCCAGAUGGUAGAAUCUUCUACAUUUAUAUACAGGAUUUACGCGUAACUUGAGUGGAUAAGAGAAAGUUAGCCUUUGCUGAAAUGCUGAGGAGGGUAGAAGAAGGUUGCAUUGUCUCGAUAUUGAAUUACCAUCAGAAGCGUACUCUUGUGAAUGUAAAGCUAAAAUGGGUUAAAGAUAGUGUCUUGGACAGUGUAGUAGCUGGAGGCAGAGAACUAAAGGCGGGAUCUACACUAGUUUCCAUCAUUGCCUCACAAUCCAGUUCUGGUCUUCCUAUUUACCAUCUCACAACCAAGCGUGGGCAGCUUGGGCUCCCUCAUGAAUUGAAAAUCUCCACUUUCCUUAGGCGAUACCCAAAUAUUUUUGAGGAAUUUUCUUGUUGUGAUAGUGCUGGCACUCCUGUUCCGUGGUUCAAAUUAACUCCUGAAACCCUAGAGUUUCAUCAUGAAGAAGUUACUGUUCUCUGCGAGUGCAGCACGGAUAUUGUUAGUAGGCUGAGAAAGCUUUUGAUGAUGACCAAGGAGAGGAUGCUUCCUCUUCAGACAGUUGAUCAACUAAAAUGGGAUUUAGGCUUGCCACAUGAUUGUGGUAGUUCAUUGGUUAUAAAACACCCUGAGCUGUUUAAUUUGGUGGACCUUCCCGAUGGUCGUGUUGGUCUUAAGCUUUUAGCAUGGGAUCACAAAUUAGCUGUUUCCCAUUUGGAGGCAAAUUCUACAAGGGGAAAUGGGACCUUGAUGUUUCCUAUUGGAUUCACCCGGGGUUUCGGGUUAAAGAGAAAAUGCAUGGAAUGGUUGGAGGAAUGGCAAAAGCUGCCUUAUACUUCUCCUUAUGUGGAUGCCUCUCAUUUGGACCCAAGGACAGAUGUGUCAGAGAAGAGGAUUGUUGGAGUGUUUCAUGAGCUUUUGCACCUCACCUUACAAAAGAAAAUAGAGAGGAGAAACGUUAGCAAUCUCCGCAAGCCAUUUGCAUUGCCUCAGAAGUUCACAAAGGUCUUUGAGCGGCAUCCUGGGAUUUUUUACAUUUCUAUGAAGGGUGACACUCAGACUGUCGUCCUUAGAGAGGCUUAUAAUCGCAAUCAACUGAUUGAGAAGCAUCCCCUUGUUCACAUAAGGGAGAAAUUUGCGAACAUGAUGAAGCAAGGUUUUCUAGAUCGUAGUAGGGGGUUAUAUAGAGAUACUAACCAAGGCGUAGAAGAGGAGUCACUGACAAGUAGUUUUGUUGGUUAAACCUGUGGAACUAGAUAUUACUCUGGUAUAGAGACUAAGAUUCUGAUAUGCUUUUAGAACAUGAAGCAAAGUAGAUUAAGGUCCUUCAAGAAUUUAAUGUUACAAGCUGAGAUGUGAUUGGCUGUACUAUUUGAAGUUCUCAGAAACCUGUGGAACUGGAUUGGAUAUGCUUUCAGAAUACGAAUCAGAUCAGAUAGAGGUCUUUAAGAAGUUCUGUAAUUACAAGCUGAGAGGUCAAAGAAGACUCAGCCGUUUUAGAUCAAGAUGAAAGACAAUUAACUAAUGCAAUUGGAAGUUGAGGUGAGAGUGUGGAUUACUCCCUUCAUGAGCAUCGUUUCGGAGAAGCACCUGUGGAGUGCCCUUGGGUGUGUCUCAAAGAUAUGAUUGACAGUCUUUUGUUCUCUAAGAAGAAUUCAGCUGGAACUCUUGCAGCGACUGACCCUGUGGUGUUAUAAUAUAAUGGUCAUGAAUGAAUCUGGGAACAUGUGGAAAAAGAACUUUUAAGAUGUCCCUGAAAUGGACACAAUCAAAAUUAGAAUGUGUGAGACAAUUAUUUUGGCAACCAAAAUGAAAUACUGUCUGUCUCAAUUUAUGUGAUGCACUAUCCAUUUUAGUUUGUUACAAAAAGAAUGAUACAUUUUUGUAUUUAGAAACAAUUUAACUUUAAAAAAUUUCAUUUUACCCAGCCACACAAAUAUUUGUGAAUUGUUUUAGACACAAGUUUCAAAAAUCUUUCCUCCUUAGACAAUUGAAGCGCUUUACAAAUAGUGUACCUUACACUUUAAAGUGUAAUAGCAGUGUUGGAAAAACUACUUAUCUGAUGGUUACUGUAAACUGAUUUAAGAACUCUCAAUGAUCUGGUUGAUUUCAAAAUCUUAAAUAACUGCACAAGUGUUCCUCUGAAACUAUGGAUGCUUCUUACUUUACAAUUCUGAUUUUGGAGAUUGUCAUAAUUCUGCAAUCUGGUUGUAUCAUUUCUGAUUACCUCAAGGGAGUAGAGGAGCAAGAAGAAGAGGAGCGCAUUUCCUUUUGGCACUCAUUUUAAAAAUGAGUAACUAGAGAACAUGGAUUGAGUUUUGAUGCUUAAGUAUUGUUUCACUUGUAUGUAUGAGUUAUUGUAUCUGGCUUUUACGUGUUAGCUUUUCCAGCUGCUUAAAGACUAGAUAGGUUAGAUAUUGUAUCAUCUUUGGAUUACCAUCUGUAAUCAGAAAUGAGAGGGACUAGAUUACCAUCACUUUAUUGUUCCGUGCAUUUCUAACAACCAAGACAAGAGGCUAGUUGCAGAUUACAAACACUAUAUUCCUUAUUAGUUUUGCAGGCCAGAGGAUAGCAGAUAGCCUUGCCCAUGCCGGUGCUCCUCCCCUGGGUGACAUGUCGAUGGCAUUCGUAUCCACCCAUAUUUAUGCCAAGGACAUUUCUGGAUACCAUUUAAAACAGAGAGAGCUGCAUUCAACGUUGAAUCAUGAGUUUUCAUGAGUCGGAACUCACAAUCUGGCUGUUCGUUCAGUUUCUGGCAGCUUUCUCAACUCACUAUUCCAUUUUCCUAGCACUCAACAUUUCCAUUGCUUUAGGUGUUUGCUUUUUCUUUUCAAGUGAGCUACAUUUUCUCUGAUAAGCCUCUAUGCUACUGAAGUAAAAUUGUCACACCAGGUUUUAUCUUCUCUCAGUUGUGGGUCUAUUUUCUCCAACUUCGAUAUUAGGCUUGAAAAUGUACAUUUGCAAAAGGCAUCAACUUUGCAGUUUGAUUUGUUUUAUUUCCAUGGUGGAAUGAACAGUAUCUCGUUAAAGUAUGUGUUGAUUUGUGA